rnacentral:sRNA from 1 species
GGUAAGCGCUGACGGGCAGCGGGCGGGGGCUGGGCCUUGGCCGGGGGCCUGAGGUAGGGCCCGGCGGGGCAGGGCGGGGCGGGACGGCGGCGGAGGUGCCGAGUCACCCGGGCCUGAGUCCGGCCUGCAGGCUCAUCGGCCGCACCGGGCACAAGCAGGACCCUUGACCACUAACCGCCUGUGGUCGCGUCCGCCGGUCCUGAACGUGGCUCGCAUUCCGUCUCAGCCGGACUUGCCCUCCUUGACGAAAGAAAGGAAGUUCUCUUUCAACAUGUUCGACCACCCUAUUCCCAGGGUCUUCCAAAACCGCUUCUCCACACAGUACCGCUGCUUCUCUGUGUCCAUGCUAGCAGGGCCUAAUGACAGGUCAGAUGUGGAGAAAGGAGGGAAGAUAAUUAUGCCGCCCUCAGCCCUGGACCAACUCAGCCGACUUAACAUUACCUAUCCCAUGCUGUUCAAACUGACCAAUAAGAAUUCGGACCGCAUGACGCAUUGUGGCGUGCUGGAGUUUGUGGCUGAUGAGGGCAUCUGCUACCUCCCACACUGGAUGAUGCAGAACUUACUCUUGGAAGAAGGCGGCCUGGUCCAGGUGGAGAGCGUCAACCUUCAAGUGGCCACCUACUCCAAAUUCCAACCUCAGAGCCCUGACUUCCUGGACAUCACCAACCCCAAAGCCGUAUUAGAAAACGCACUUAGGAACUUUGCCUGUCUGACCACCGGGGAUGUGAUUGCCAUCAACUAUAAUGAAAAG